GCUCCCAUCGUCUAGAGGCCUAGGACACCGGCCUUUCAUGCCGGCGACACGAGUUCGAAUCUCGUUGGGAGUACCA
rnacentral:tRNA from 1 species